GCUGUGGGGAGGGACAGGUGGUGACAGGAGGGACAGGUGCUGACCCCGGCUGGGUUUGCAGGACAAACCCUGAGAUUUCCACCCUCCCCGUGGCAAAAUUGAUAGCGCUGCUGGUUCUCUGAUAUUCUGCUAGUGCUCUUGCGUUGGCAGCGACAAGCAUCAUACCUUGCAAUCAUCAGCUGCCACCUCUGGCCUGAGCUGCCCAGUGGCCUCGAAGACCUGCCCGUUCCAGGCCCUGAAGCGCAGGGCGCGCUCCGAGGGGCUCUCGGAGGAGCCCUCCCUCCACACAGAGGUGUUCAGGCAGUGGAUGGUGAUGUGCUGCACCACCUCCGAGCUCAGCAGCCGCAGGAAGUUCAUCUGGACUCUGCCGAUGUCAAAAUCCAGCUGGAAGAAAGCACCAAUGGGACCAUUCCCAGUCUCCAGCCCAAGCAAAGACAAAAAUGCCCUGGUACCUCUCUCUUGAGCGCGGUGUUGGAGUCGAUCAGGGUCUGGAAAGCUGCCCCAAAGCCAUCUUGCUGCUGGUGUGGUGUGAAAAAGAUGGAAACUGAGACUGUUAGAAGUUGAGCGUGCCCUGAUGCAAGAAAACACUUCUCAAUCUAAGGCUGCAGUUCAAGCACGCUAACAGAGCAUCUCCUGCUGGACCUGAGGGUGUGUCUGCAAGGACCCAGCAGCCCCUUGGCUCUGCAGGACUUGUGAUCAUCUUUACGAACAAACAUACAGAGAAUGGCAACUUACAAAUGAGGCUGGAACUCCUGGAGGUCCCUGGAAAUCAGAGGAGAAAAGGGGCAUCAGGCACGAAGCUGGUCAGUCACUGCUGCACAGAUAUUCAGCCCUGGCCUUUGAAAUGCCCCUCAGUGCAGAGAAGUGAGAGAGGCAACAAUGCUGUCUCUAUAAAACUCUUGGGGAUGGUUUGGACCAAAGCACAAGAAACACUGGUGCAUUCACACACGUGGUUUUGUGUGUGAGGAAUGGGGCUAAGCCAUAAUUUCCAGUGAGGGAGCAGUCCCUCUGGAGAGUGUCAUGGCCAUCAUUUCAGCUUGGUUCAAUCAUGAACUCUUCCCACAGAUACCUACCGGAGGGCCAGGGUGUCCUCGUGGGCCUGGAGGACCCUAAAGACAGAGUGGCAUCAGUUAGUGAAACAUCUCCAGUUUUUAUUUCCAUUUCUCAUGGUUUUUACCAGCAGGAAUCUGUUCCCAGCUGGAUUUUUGGCACCUCACAGCAGCCUGUCCCAAAACUUUUAAAAGAGGGGGGGUGGCCCCAUUUUGUCCCUGCUCUGGGUACAUCUCUCUACACCUGGUCCAUUCCUGCUGCAUCCCUUGUUCCCAGCCCUCUCAGCUCCUCAGUUGUCACUGAUGCCACGUCCCCAGGCACUCACCCCAUUCCAGGUGUGCAAGUAGCAGCUUUACACUUGCUAAAAGCAACUGUUUUAUUUAAACACAA